rnacentral:rRNA from 1 species
AGUGAACGCUGGCGGUAGGCCUAACACAUGCAAGUCGAACGGCAGCACAGUAAGAGCUUGCUCUUACGGGUGGCGAGUGGCGUACGUGUGAGGAAUACAUCGGAAUCUACUUUUUCGUGGGGGAUAACGUAGGGAAACUUACGCUAAGACCGCAUACGACCUACGGGUGAAAGCAGGGGAUCGUCGGACCUUGCGCGAUUGAAUGAGCCGAUGUCGGAUUAGCUAGUUGGCGGGGUAAAGGCCCACCAAGGCGACGAUCCGUAGCUGGUCUGAGAGGAUGAUCAGCCACACUGGAACUGAGACACGGUCCAGGCUCCUACGGGAGGCAGCAGUGGGGAAUAUUGGACAAUGGGCGCAAGCCUGAUACAGCCAUACCGCGUGGGUGACGAAGGCCUUCGGGUUGUAAAGCCCUUUUGUUGGGAAAGAAAAGCAGCAGGUUAAUACCACGCUGUUCUGACGGUACCCAAAGAAUAAGCACCGGCUAACUUCGUG